ensembl:misc_RNA Metazoa_SRP Metazoan signal recognition particle RNA
GCUAGGUGUGGUGGCGGGCGCCUGUAAUCCCAGCUACUCAGGAGGCUGAGGCAGGAGAAUCGUUUGAACCCAGGAGGCAGAGGUUGCAGUGAGCCGAGAUCGCACCACUGCACUCCAGCCUGGGUGACAGAGUGAGACUCUGUCUCAA